rnacentral:rRNA from 1 species
UACGGGGGGAGCAAGCGUUGUUCGGAUUUACUGGGCGUAAAGGGCGCGUAGGCGGCGCCGCAAGUCGACUGUGAAAUCUCCGGGCUUAACCCGGAAAGGUCAGCCGAUACUGCGGGGCUAGAGUGCAGAAGGGGCAACUGGAAUUCUCGGUGUAGCAGUGAAAUGCGUAGAGAUCGGGAGGAACAUCCGUGGCGAAGGCGGCCACCUGGGCCAACACUGACACUGAGGCACGAAAGCGUGGGGAGCAAACAGG